rnacentral:rRNA from 1 species
AAAUGAAUUGACGGGGGAGCGCACAACCGGUGGAGCAUGUGGUUUAAUUCGAUACAAAGCGAAAAACCUUACCCAGGUUUGACAUGUACCUGCACGGUCUUGGAAACAAGACCUUCUUCGAGAGUGGUACACAGGUGAUGCAUGGCUGUCGUCAGCUCGUGUCGUGAGACGUCCACUUAAGUGUGGUAACGAGCGCAACCCUUGUUGCAUGUUACACGUAUCAUGCAAGACUGCCUGCGUUUUUCGCGGGAGGAAGGAGAGGACGACGUCAAGUCAGCAUGUCCCUUACAUCUGGGGCUACACACAUCCUACAAUGGGGUAGACAACGGGAAGCAAUGAGGUAACUCUGAGCAAAUCCUAAUAAACUACUCCUCAGUUCGGAUUGUGGGCUGCAAUUCGCCCACAUGAAGUCGGAAUCGGUAGUAAUCGCAAAUCAUCAGGUUGCGGUGAAUACGUUCUCGCUCCUUGUACACACCGCCCGU